GGGAGUAUAGCUUAGUGAUAGAGCACAUGCUUAGCAUGCAUAAGGUCCUGGGUCAAUCCCCAGUACCUCCA
rnacentral:tRNA from 1 species